UACGUAGGGUGCAAGCGUUGUCCGGAAUUAUUGGGCGUAAAGAGCUCGUAGGCGGUUUGUCGCGUCUGCUGUGAAAUCCCAGGGCUUAACCCUGGGCCUGCAGUGGGUACGGGCAAACUAGAGUGCGGUAGGGGAGAUCGGAAUUCCUGGUGUAGCGGUGAAAUGCGCAGAUAUCAGGAGGAACACCAGUGGCGAAGGCGGCUGACUGGUCCGGUUCUGACGCUGAGGCGCGAAAGCGUGGGGAGCAAACAGG
rnacentral:rRNA from 1 species